UACAGAGGAGCCAAGCGUUGUCCGGAUUGACUGGGCGUAAAGCGCACGCAGGCGGACGCGCGCGUGGGGUGUGAAAUCUGGCCGCUUAACGGCCAGGCGCCAUCCCAUACGGCGCGUCUGGAGCAAUGCAGAGGUCGGUGGAAUUGCCGGUGUAGUGGUGAAAUGCGUAGAGAUCGGGAGGAACACCCGUGGCGAAGGCGGCCAGCUGGGCCGGACCUGACGCUGAGGCGCGAAGGCGUGGGGAGCGAACGGG
rnacentral:rRNA from 1 species